rnacentral:rRNA from 1 species
GGUGCUGCAUGGUUGUCGUCAGCUCGUGCCGUGAGGUGUCGGCUUAAGUGCCAUAACGAGCGCAACCCUUGUUGUCAGUUACUAACAGGUUCCGCUGAGGACUCUGACAAGACUGCCAUCGUAAGAUGUGAGGAAGGUGGGGAUGACGUCAAAUCAGCACGGCCCUUACGUCCGGGGCUACACACGUGUUACAAUGGGGGGUACAGAGGGCCGCUACCACGCGAGUGGAUGCCAAUCCCAAAAACCUCUCUCAGUUCGGACUGGAGUCCGCAACCCGACUCCACGAAGCUGGAUUCGCUAGUAAUCGCGCAUCAGCCACGGCGCGGUGAAUACGUUCCCGGGCCUUGUACACACCGCCCGUCAAGCCAUGGGAGCCGGGGGUACCUGAAGUGCGUAACCGCGAGGAGCGCCCUAGGGUAAAACUGGUGACUGGGGCUAAGUCGUAACAAGGUAGCCGUACCGGAAGGUGCGGCUGGAUCACCUC